UACCAGCACCCCGAGUGGUCGGGACGUUUAUUGGGCCUAAAGCAUCCGUAGCCGGUUCUACAAGUCUUCCGUUAAAUCCACCUGCUUAACAGAUGGGCUGCGGAAGAUACUAUGGAGCUAGGAGGCGGGAGAGGCAAGCGGUACUCGAUGGGUAGGGGUAAAAUCCGUUGAUCCAUUGAAGACCACCAGUGGCGAAGGCGGCUCACUGGCUCAUUACUGACGCUCAGGCGCGAUAGCGUGGGGAGCAAACAGG
rnacentral:rRNA from 1 species